CCAGACUCCUACGGGAGGCAGCAGUGGGGAAUAUUGCACAAUGGGGGGAACCCUGAUGCAGCGACGCCGCGUGGGUGACGAAGUAUUUCGGUAUGUAAAGCCCUAUCAGCAGGGAAGAAGAUGACAGUACCUGACUAAGAAGCCCCGGCUAACUACGUGCCAGCAGCCGCGGUAAUACGUAGGGGGCAAGCGUUAUCCGGAUUUACUGGGUGUAAAGGGAGCGUAGGUGGCAUGGCAAGCCAGAAGUGAAAACCCGGGGCUUAACCCCGUGGAUUGCUUUUGGAACUGUCAGGCUGGAGUGCAGGAGGGGCAGGCGGAAUUCCUGGUGUAGCGGUGAAAUGCGUAGAUAUCAGGAGGAACACCGGUGGCGAAGGCGGCCUGCUGGACUGUAACUGACACUGAGGCUCGAAAGCGUGGGGAGCAAACAGGAUUAGAUACCCCAGUA
rnacentral:rRNA from 1 species